rnacentral:rRNA from 1 species
UACGUAGGGGGCAAGCGUUGUCCGGAAUCAUUGGGCGUAAAGAGCGCGUAGGCGGCCCGAUAAGUCCGCUGUGAAAGUCAAGGGCUUAACCCUUGAAUGCCGGUGGAAACUGUCGGGCUAGAGUCCGGAAGAGGAGAGUGGAAUUCCCGGUGUAGCGGUGAAAUGCGCAGAUAUCGGGAAGAACACCCGUGGCGAAGGCGGCUCUCUGGGACGGUACUGACGCUGAGACGCGAAAGCGUGGGGAGCGAACAGG